AGCAUGCAGAAAUAGAGCUAAGCCACACAGCCAGAGUUGCAAGGAAGCCUGGAAUGUCAGAUUCAGGUUUGGGUACAGACCACCAACGUCAGGAGAGCUCCGUGUGCUCACGGCACAGAGGUACUCAGGAGCAGAGGCACUGUCAUCUCUCCACUAACCCUGUGCAAAGAGAACAUUCCAGAAGGAUGGGUCACCGGUGACUCCAUCACCCAGGUCUUCCUCAAGAAACCCAGGUUUGGUUAGCAUCUUCAACAUGAAGUUUUUAUUCUAGUGCCUUUUGUAGAGUUGAAUUG